CGUCCCAUUAGCUUGUUGGUGGGGUAAUGGCCUACCAAGGCGACGAUGGGUAGCCGGCCUGAGAGGGUGUCCGGCCACACUGGGACUGAGAUACGGCCCAGACUCCUACGGGAGGCAGCAGUCGAGAAGCUUCGGCAAUGGGCGAAAGCCUGACCGAGCGACGCCGCGUGAGCGAUGAAGGUCCUAUGGAUUGUAAAGCUCUGUCAGAUUGGGAAGAAAACUUCGCGAUUAAUACCCGCGAAGCUUGACGGUACCAUCAGAGGAAGCACCGGCUAACUCCGUGCCAGCAGCCGCGGUAAUACGGAGGGUGCGAGCGUUGUUCGGAUUCACUGGGUAUAAAGGGUGCGUAGGCGGCCUCGUAAGUCAGGGGUGAAAUAUGACGGCUCAACCGUCAAACUGCCCCUGAAACUGCAAGGCUUGAGUCCGGGAGAGGAAGGUGGAAUUCCUGGUGUAGCGGUGAAAUGCGUAAAUAUCAGGAGGAACACCGGUGGCGAAGGCGGCCUUCUGGUCCGGUACUGACGCUGAGGCACGAAAGCUAGGGGAGCGAACAGGAUUAGAUACCCUGGUAGUCCUAGCCGUAAACGAUGGGCACUAGGUGUCGGAGGAGUCUACCCCUUCGGUGCCGCAGCUAAUGCAUUAAGUGCCCCACCUGGGGAGUACGAUCGCAAGGUUGAAACUCAAAGGAAUUGACGGGGGCCCGCACAAGCGGUGGAGCAUGUGGUUUAAUUCGAUGCAACGCGAAGAACCUUACCUGGGCUUGACAUGCAGGGGACAGGUGCAGAAAUGUACCCUUCUUCGGACCCCUGUGCAGGUGCUGCAUGGCUGUCGUCAGCUCGUGUCGUGAAAUGUUGGGUUAAGUCCCGCAACGAGCGCAACCCCUGUCUUCAGUUGCCAUCAGUUCGGCUGGGGACUCUGGAGAGACUGCCGGUGACAAACCGGAGGAAGGUGGGGACGACGUCAAGUCAUCAUGGCCCUUACGCCCAGGGCUACACACGUGCUACAAUGGUCGGUACAAUGGGCAGCAAUACCGUGAGGUGGAGCGAAUCCCAAAAAGCCGGCCUCAGUUCGGAUUGGAGUCUGCAACUCGACUCCAUGAAGUCGGAAUCGCCAGUAAUCGCGUAUCAGCAUCACGCGCUGAAUACGUUCCCGGGCCUUGUACACACCGCCCGUCAAGUCAACCGAGUUGGCUGCACCCCAAGUCGCUGAGCUCACCCGUAAGGGAGGCAGGUG
rnacentral:rRNA from 1 species